rnacentral:rRNA from 1 species
GGUGAACGCCGGCGGCGUGCUUAAGACAUGCAAGUCGAACGGCAGUCUUCGGACUGUAGUGGCGCACGGGUGAGUAACGCGUAACUGACCUACCCCAAAGUCGCGGAUAACGAUUCGAAAGAAUCGCUAAUACGUGAUGUGCUGUCAGAUUGUGUUCUGCCAGUAAAGAUUGAUUGCUUUGGGAUGGGGUUGCGUUCCAUCAGCUAGUUGGUGGGGUAAAGGCCCACCAAGGCGACGACGGAUAGCCGGCCUGAGAGGGUGGCCGGCCACAGGGGCACUGAGACACGGGUCCCACUCCUACGGGAGGCAGCAGUCAGGAAUCUUCCACAAUGGGCGAAAGCCUGAUGGAGCGACGCCGCGUGAGGGAUGAAGGUCUUCGGAUCGUAAACCUCUGAAUCAGGGACGAAAGACACUUCGGUGGGAUGACGGUACCUGAGUAAUAGCACCGGCUAACUCCGUGCCAGCCGCCGCAGUAAAAC